GGGAAAGUGGCUCAGUGGUAGAGUACUUGCCUUGCAUGCAUGAGGCCCUGGGUUCGAUUCCUCAGCACCA
rfam:Dipodomys ordii contig_33831, whole genome shotgun sequence.